ACCUGGCUGGCUCAGUGGGUUAAGCGUCUGACUUCAGCUCAGGUCAUGAUCUCACGGUUCGUGAGUUCGAGCCCCAUGUCGGGCU
rnacentral:tRNA from 1 species